rnacentral:tRNA from 1 species
GGCCGGUUAGCUCAGUGGGUAGAGUGCAGUGCUGACAACAAUGACAACACUGAGGUUGCGGGUUCAAUUCUUGCUCAGUCCC